GCCAUAUGAUGAUCACUCUAAAGCUGAUGUUUCCUUUGCCGCAUAUCUUGAAACCAGAGUAUUUUAUUGUCUGUAAUCUUGGUUGUAAGCAAUAGUAUGCUUGUGACUGUAAGGCCAGACAUACAAGAAAUCAUAGCCAGCUAAGACACCACGCUCCUUUGAGAUUUUGGGAGAUGUGACCUUCUAGAUAUGGCUACAUUCUUAAUCAUGUUUAAAUUUUGAUGAGGUCAAAGGAAACUAUGCUGUGCUCUUUAGUAAUCUGAUGGCA